rnacentral:rRNA from 1 species
GACGAACGCUGGCGGCGUGCUUAACACAUGCAAGUCGAACGGAAAGACCCUGCUUUUGUGGGGUGCUCGAGUGGCGAACGGGUGAGUAACACGUGAGUAACCUGCCCUUGACUUUGGGAUAACUUCAGGAAACUGGGGCUAAUACCGGAUAGGAGCUCCUGCUGCAUGGUGGGGGUUGGAAAGUUUCGGCGGUUGGGGAUGGACUCGCGGCUUAUCAGCUUGUUGGUGGGGUAGUGGCUUACCAAGGCUUUGACGGGUAGCCGGCCUGAGAGGGUGACCGGCCACAUUGGGACUGAGAUACGGCCCAGACUCCUACGGGAGGCAGCAGUGGGGAAUAUUGCACAAUGGGCGGAAGCCUGAUGCAGCAACGCCGCGUGCGGGAUGACGGCCUUCGGGUUGUAAACCGCUUCCGCCUGUGACGAAGCGUGAGUGACGGUAAUGGGUAAAGAAGCACCGGCUAACUACGUG